UACGUAGGGUGCAAGCGUUUGUCCGGAAUUAUUGGGCGUAAAGAGCUCGUAGGCGGUCUGUCGCGUCGGCUGUGAAAACCCGGAGCUCAACUCCGGGCCUGCAGUCGAUACGGGCAGACUGGAGUUCGGCAGGGGGAGACUGGAAUUCCUGGUGUAGCGGUGAAAUGCGCAGAUAUCAGGAGGAACACCGGUGGCGAAGGCGGGUCUCUGGGCCGAUACUGACGCUGAGGAGCGAAAGCGUGGGGGAGCGAACAGG
rnacentral:rRNA from 1 species